rnacentral:rRNA from 1 species
CAUUAAUGAUUAUAAUGGGAGUUUGAUGCUGGUAGCCAGAAGCUGCAUGUGCUCGCUCUCAUCAAUCAUAUUCCAAACACCCGUGCACACUUUUGAGAGGUCUCCAAGCUAAUUACCUAUAUUUGGGUGAUUUGCAAGUAUUCCUCUCAAUUUGAUAUCUAUACUCUACCGAUAAUGUUGAACGUGGUUGUGCCGAUAUGGUCUUAAUAAAUAUACAACUUUUAACAACGGAUCUCUUGGCUCUCGCNUCGAUGAAGAACGCNGCGAAAUGCGAUAAGUAAUGUGAAUUGCAGAAUUCAGUGAAUCAUCGAAUCUUUGAACGCACCUUGCGCUCCCUGGUAUUCCGGGGAGCACGCCUGUUCGAGUGUCGCGAAAUUUCUCAAGCUUGAGAUGGGUUUGCCUGUCUUUAGUCUUGGUUGUUGGGCUUUUGCCAUAUUCUUCAUUGGGAUGGCUGGCCUUAAAAGUAUUAGCUGAACCUUCCUAUGAUAUUGGUUCUACUUAGCGUGAUAAUUAUCUGAUCGCUGAGGACAUCUUUUGGGAUGGCCAAUUCUCAUUUGGGUUCGCUUCUAAUCUGGUUUCAUCUUUGAAUCCACUCUUCCAAUUUUGACCUCGAAUCAGGUGGGACUACCCGCUGAACUUAAGCAUAUCAAUAAGCGGAGGAAAAGAAACUAACAAGGAUUCCCCUAGUAACGGCGAGUGAAGCGGGAAGAGCUCAAAUUUAAAAUCUGGCAGCCUUUGGUUGUCCGAAUUGUAAUCUAGAGAAGCGUUUUCCGCGCUGGACUGUGUACAAGUUUCCUGGAUACGGAACAUCAUAGAGGGUGAGAAU